GUGGAAUGUUCUUCAACCUGGAGGGGGCGGGCUGUAAAGUGCCUCAAUAGCAUCUAAGGAGAAGGCACCAAAUCGAGUUACUCUCGGACACCUCAGAACAGGGGUGCUGCCGGGGUUUGUGAAUCGAGGGUGCGACAGGUGUGGCUUGUUCCGGUGAUCACUGGAGGAGUAUAAGAGGAUGGAUUGCCAGCACUUCUUUGCCUGAGUGUUUUGCCCUUCAGCGGACUCAGACCAAGCCACGCUCCUUGGUGGUGACAGACCACUUCCGAACCUGAAGUAACUCUGGAUCAAGCCCCAGCUGGCGGUCCGCCUCACUCGGUGCUCCUACCCCGCUUAUGUACGUCCUGUCCAUCCUCCAACGGUUCCUCCUCGUCCAGACCACAGAAGCUCCAGGCAGUCCCAUGAGCAACCUCUCCACGGUCUCCAGACUCAUCAGCAAUCUCCCUGGGGGAUCUAGC